AAAAAAUAAAAAUGAUAAAAAUGCAUUGCACAUAAUCGAUCCAUCUCACAAUGAAUCUAGAAUAUACACAACAACUCAAUAUGUUACAUUAAUCAUAGUUCAAAUAAAUCACAUAUAUGUACUUCAUAUACAAAUCUGUCUAUAAUUAGCAUACAACGGCUGAAGGUCACUGAAAUAGAAGUGCACAUCUAAUAAAACAUAAGUCCUUCAACUAUAUAUGGAGAAAUAGGAGCUCAUUUGUCACUCAAUCAUAGCUUGGAUUGCAAGCUUCUCUUACAGAUUACCCUGCACCAAAUAGACUCAUUGCUCUGUUAAAAAAAGAAUAGACUCGUUGAAGUAUGAUUGUGCAAGAACUAGAUCAUUAUCUAGAUGAUACAAAAGUACAUAUUCGACAUAUCAGUUUCUCAAAUUAACUUGGCCAAACCUUGGCUCCAUUCCUCUAAAGUUAUCACAUAAUAACUGAGUGAAACUAUAAGACACAUAAUUGUAUAAAAAUUGACAACAAAUGCAUGAGUAAUGUUGUUUUGAGAAAAUAGUAAUACCUAGCCUCAAAAGGAUGCGCCUGCUGAAUAUAACAGUUCUGCAAUGAAAGAACACAUGUACAAAUUCAUUGUUUUUCAAUACGUGGAUAAGCAAUCAACAAAGAACAUGGAGAAUCAGGAUACAACUCAGCCUAAUUUGCAAACCACUCGACAAUAAUGGGGAGUUAAGUUUCUGCAUUUCAGUCUUCCAAAGUCAUUUAUAUGGAUCUGUGCUACACUUUAGUCUAGUGUGUACUACUUACAAUUUUAAGUAGCAUCUAUAUAAUUAGUGAGAGCACUAGGGCAGGCUCCACACCAAUACAGCUGGAACAUAUAAUAAGAAAAUAUAUCUUUUCUGGAAUAUGCACGAGUGUGUGUAUCAUAUACUAUUAAAGAAGAAGAGGGGGAAGAGCCCCAUCCACAAUAGUUACAUGACUGACGGCAUACAGUAUGUUCCAAGAAGAAUGUAGUAAUAAGAUUAACUAAAUUAAGAUGACAUACAGUAUAGCCUAUGACAGGAGCCCCUCAACAUAUGUUUGUCUUGUUAAUUGUUAUUACAGAACAUGCAUUUCUCAUGCAUAGCUACUGGUAAAUGGCAUUUCCAGGUAUAGUUUCAUUGUCAAUACUCUAAACUAUAAUGUCUAGGUACAUAGAUGUUCUUGAGCAUACUAGAGAUAUCAUGAUCUCACAAUAUCAAAAACUUGUAUCAAAAUUAAUCAUUACUUAAGUUUGAGACAUGUUGAGAAAUAACAGUAUAACCAUACCUUUGAUAAAAGCAGAGGAUAUUACACCUCUCAUAGAUCGAUCUCGAACCUUAAAUCUUACUCCUGAUCAAGAUUAAUUGCAAAUAGGAAAAUGAGAUCUCAAAAGGGUACAUACAAGAUCAAGUUGAUCUGUUAGACAGUUGAUGACUCGGUCGUCUCAAUCAUAUAAUCAUGUGAAUGUAUGGAAAUGUGAACAUGUACAUAAAUCGAAAUGAAUGAAAUAUCAAUCUACAAAUUAAUCAUCGAGCUGCAAACGACACAUAUGGAACAUCAUUGCAGAAACCUUUCUCACAUAUUUUAAUAAGUACAGACUGUGUAC
rnacentral:lncRNA from 1 species